UGCUUAUCGAGAAAGACCGAGGGAAGGGCCCUGAGACGUCUUAGCAACCUAAAACAAAAGGUGCUAAUUCCCAUUCCGUAAAUGGCGGAAGAAGAUAAGCG
rnacentral:ncRNA from 2 species